rnacentral:rRNA from 1 species
UACGGGGGGGGCAAGCGUUGUUCGGAAUUACUGGGCGUAAAGGGCUCGUAGGCGGCCAACUAAGUCGGACGUGAAAUCCCUCAGCUUAACUGGGGAACUGCGUCCGAUACUGGAUAGCUUGGAUUCGGGAGAGGGAUGCGGAAUUCCAGGUGUAGCGGUGAAAUGCGUAGAUAUCAGGAGGAACACCGGUGGCGAAGGCGGGUCUCUGGGCAGUAACUGACGCUGAGGAGCGAAAGCGUGGGGAGCGAACAGG